CAGAACUUUCCUGUCUGUUGACUGUUCUCGAGAGUGGUACGGGAUCAUUAUCCGAAGAGUGUAAAACUACACUGACAAAACGGCUUCAGAUGUUUGAAUAUGCUGCUGAGGUUGCUCCCGCAGAAUGUAGAGGAAUUAGUUCGGCAAGUUGCUGCUUCACCUGCCCGAAAUUACUUUAUAGUUAUAUCUCUGUGUGUGUUAGGAUCAAUCUUCUUUGGGGGUUUGUUUUGUGGACGAGUUACCAAAAAAGUUACUGCUAGUGCAAAGAACAAGUGAACAUUGCCAUCAAACCUAUAAUAGUUAACCAGAGUGGAUUAGAAGAUACGUUUAUUUACACAAUCACGUUAUAAUAAAUAAUAUUCAUGAUCUUUGUCGUGUUAUCAGAUUAUUGCAUACGAGAGACGUUUUGAUAAUGUGUAACUUAAAAUUAACAGUUGUAUCAUAAUUGAUAUGGUAAAAAUAACUGGUAAUUUAACAUUUUAAGCAUAUUCUGGGUUUUUAGUGCGUCGAACAAAUAUAUCAAGCUUCACUUAUCGAUAAUAUGUUUUUUAUGUUAUGAUGUAACAUCUAAAAUCAAAAGAUCAUUCUGGUUUGCAGUUGAUAUAUUACACUGAGCUUACUGGGAUCAGUCGUCUUUAGCUGUAACAUUUACAACCCUGCCUUAAAAAAUUACUUGAUUUGAGAGUUUAACUAUGGAAAGUUAUGUAUUCACAGUCUGGAAAGCAGCUUUUUGUGUAUAAAGUUGCUAUUUAGAACGUGGUAAUAAAUUAAUAAUAGAUAUAUGCAAUUUUUGGUUCUCUUUGUUCGUACUUUGAUAUUCCAUAUUUACAGCAAGAAAUCUCUUACUUUGACAAUUGAAUACAUAUAUAUACUCACUCAAGACUUUAAAUAAUGGUUUGUAGUUUGACUAUAUUAAACUGUGCUUUUUUUUGUAAUACAUUGAUAAAAGUUUUCUUAUUAUUUCUUCUGUACUUUCUCUAAUAUGCUUAAAGAUGGGGGUAAAAAAAAAGUAUUAACGUUUGUUUCUUCCAUUGCUUUCGAAUUAAAAACAGUCAGCACCACAUCCAUUUCACAAAGUGUUUCUUUACUGUGAUUUUUUGGAACUACCCAGUUUUAUAUCUCGUGUAUUGAGUGUCAGACCAAAAUCGUGUGUAAAAUGCUCUUUUUGAAAUAAAAUUAUUGCAUUUUACUGUU